GGUCAAGCUAAUAAGAGCAAAGGGUGAAUGCCUUGGCAUCAAGAACCGAAGAAGGACGUAGAAAGCUGCGAAAAGCCACGAUGAGACGCACACAGUCAUUGACUCGUGGAUAUCCGAAUGGGGAAACCCGG
rnacentral:rRNA from 1 species